AAUCCAUAGGUUAAUGAGGCGAACCGGGGGAACUGAAACAUCUAAGUACCCCGAGGAAAAGAAAUCAACCGAGAUUCCCCCAGUAGCGGCGAGCGAACGGGGAGGAGCCCAGAGCCUGAAUCAGCAUGUGUGUUAGUGGAAGCGUCUGGAAAGGCGCGCGAUACAGGGUGACAGCCCCGUACACAAAAGCGCAUGUGCUGUGAGCUCGAUGAGUAGGGCGGGACACGUGGUAUCCUGUCUGAAUAUGGGGGGACCAUCCUCCAAGGCUAAAUACUCCUGACUGACCGAUAGUGAACCAGUACCGUGAGGGAAAGGCGAAAAGAACCCCGGCGAGGGGAGUGAAAAAGAACCUGAAACCGUGUACGUACAAGCAGUGGGAGCACCCUUUGGGUGUGACUGCGUACCUUUUGUAUAAUGGGUCAGCGACUUAUAUUCUGUAGCAAGGUUAACCGAAUAGGGGAGCCGGAGGGAAACCGAGUCUUAAUUGGGCGUUAAGUUGCAGGGUAUAGACCCGAAACCCGGUGAUCUAGCCAUGGGCAGGUUGAAGGUUGGGUAACACUAACUGGAGGACCGAACCGACUAAUGUUGAAAAAUUAGCGGAUGACCUGUGGCUGGGGGUGAAAGGCCAAUCAAACCGGGAGAUAGCUGGUUCUCCCCGAAAGCUAUUUAGGUAGCGCCUCGUGAAUUCAUCUCCGGGGGUAGAGCACUGUUUCGGCUAGGGGGCCAUCCCGGCUUACCAACCCGAUGCAAACUGCGAAUACCGGAGAAUGUUAUCACGGGAGACACACGGCGGGUGCUAACGUCCGUCGUGAAGAGGGAAACAACCCAGACCGCCAGCUAAGGUCCCAAAGUCAUGGUUAAGUGGGAAACGAUGUGGGAAGGCCCAGACAGCCAGGAUGUUGGCUUAGAAGCAGCCAUCAUUUAAAGAAAGCGUAAUAGCUCACUGGUCGAGUCGGCCUGCGCGGAAGAUGUAACGGGGCUAAACCAUGCACCGAAGCUGCGGCAGCGACACUGUGUGUUGUUGGGUAGGGGAGCGUUCUGUAAGCCUGUGAAGGUGUGUCGUGAGGCAUGCUGGAGGUAUCAGAAGUGCGAAUGCUGACAUAAGUAACGAUAAAGCGGGUGAAAAGCCCGCUCGCCGGAAGACCAAGGGUUCCUGUCCAACGUUAAUCGGGGCAGGGUGAGUCGACCCCUAAGGCGAGGCCGAAAGGCGUAGUCGAUGGGAAACGGGUUAAUAUUCCCGUACUUGGUGUUACUGCGAAGGGGGGACGGAGAAGGCUAUGUUGGCCGGGCGACGGUUGUCCCGGUUUAAGCGUGUAGGUGUGUGUUCCAGGUAAAUCCGGUUCACUUUAACACUGAGGCGUGACGACGAGGCACUACGGUGCUGAAGCAACAAAUGCCCUGCUUCCAGGAAAAGCCUCUAAGCAUCAGGUAACAUCAAAUCGUACCCCAAACCGACACAGGUGGUCAGGUAGAGAAUACCAAGGCGCUUGAGAGAACUCGGGUGAAGGAACUAGGCAAAAUGGUGCCGUAACUUCGGGAGAAGGCACGCUGACACGUAGGUGAAGUGAUUUACUCAUGGAGCUGAAGUCAGUCGAAGAUACCAGCUGGCUGCAACUGUUUAUUAAAAACACAGCACUGUGCAAACACGAAAGUGGACGUAUACGGUGUGACGCCUGCCCGGUGCCGGAAGGUUAAUUGAUGGGGUCAGCGCAAGCGAAGCUCCUGAUCGAAGCCCCGGUAAACGGCGGCCGUAACUAUAACGGUCCUAAGGUAGCGAAAUUCCUUGUCGGGUAAGUUCCGACCUGCACGAAUGGCGUAAUGAUGGCCAGGCUGUCUCCACCCGAGACUCAGUGAAAUUGAACUCGCUGUGAAGAUGCAGUGUACCCGCGGCAAGACGGAAAGACCCCGUGAACCUUUACUAUAGCUUGACACUGAACAUUGAGCCUUGAUGUGUAGGAUAGGUGGGAGGCUUUGAAGUGUGGACGCCAGUCUGCAUGGAGCCGACCUUGAAAUACCACCCUUUAAUGUUUGAUGUUCUAACGUGGACCCGUUACCCGGGUUGCGGACAGUGUCUGGUGGGUAGUUUGACUGGGGCGGUCUCCUCCUAAAGAGUAACGGAGGAGCACGAAGGUUGGCUAAUCCUGGUCGGACAUCAGGAGGUUAGUGCAAUGGCAUAAGCCAGCUUGACUGCGAGCGUGACGGCGCGAGCAGGUGCGAAAGCAGGUCAUAGUGAUCCGGUGGUUCUGAAUGGAAGGGCCAUCGCUCAACGGAUAAAAGGUACUCCGGGGAUAACAGGCUGAUACCGCCCAAGAGUUCAUAUCGACGGCGGUGUUUGGCACCUCGAUGUCGGCUCAUCACAUCCUGGGGCUGAAGUAGGUCCCAAGGGUAUGGCUGUUCGCCAUUUAAAGUGGUACGCGAGCUGGGUUUAGAACGUCGUGAGACAGUUCGGUCCCUAUCUGCCGUGGGCGCUGGAGAACUGAGGGGGGCUGCUCCUAGUACGAGAGGACCGGAGUGGACGCAUCACUGGUGUUCGGGUUGUCAUGCCAAUGGCACUGCCCGGUAGCUAAAUGCGGAAGAGAUAAGUGCUGAAAGCAUCUAAGCACGAAACUUGCCCCGAGAUGAGUUCUCCCUGAGACUUAAAGUCUCCUGAAGGAACGUUGAAGACGACGACGUUGAUAG
rnacentral:rRNA from 1 species